rnacentral:lncRNA from 1 species
ACGAGCAGUCAGACGAGUCGUCCUUCUUCUUGUGGUCCUUCUUGUGGUGGCGCUUCUGGUGCGACUUGGCGUGGUGCUUCUUCACCUUCUUGUCGUCGCAGUCGUCGUCCUUCUUGUGGUGCUUCUUCUUGUUGUGCGAGGCGCGCUUCUUGUCGUCCUUGUCGUCCUUGCACUCGCGGUGGUCGUCCUUGGCGUGACGCACGUGCUUGUCGGCGUGCGAGGCGUCCGACUUGGAGUAGUGAUGGUCCUUGGCCUUGCACGAGGCGCGCUUGGCGUCGCGGUGGUCGCGCUUCUUGUGGGCCUCGCGGUCGCGGUGCUUCUUGUCGUGCUUCUUGAGGCACAGGUCCUUCUUGGACUUGUCGCGCUUGUGGUCCUUCUUGGCACACUCGCGCUUGUCCUUGCGGUAGCAGCGCUCGUCCUCCGAGUUGUGGUCGUCCUCGCACCACUUCUUCUCGUAGAACUUGCGCACGUAAAACUUCUUGCGCUUGUGGUGGUUCUUGUCGCGGCGCUUGACGUCCUUCUCGUCCUUCUUGGCGCACUCGCGACGGUCCUUGUCGUGGUGGCGAUCGCACUCGGCCUUCUUGCGGUACUCGUCGUCCUUGCGGUACUCGUCCUCGCACUUUUUGCUGUCGCGCUUCUUCUCGUCCUUGCAGGCGUCGCGCUUCUUCAGGUGCUUGGACUCGCUCUCCGAGUGCGAGUCGGACGAGCACUUGUCAUACUUGUGGUAGGACUUGUCGUGCUUGUCCUUCUUGCGGUGGCGC